rnacentral:tRNA from 1 species
GCAUUGGUGGUUCAGUGGUAAAAUUUUUGCCUCCCAUGCAGGAAACCCAGGUUCAAUUCUGGGCCAACGCA